rnacentral:lncRNA from 1 species
GGAAGGUGUUAGCACCCAAAGUGUCCUAAGUACUCCUAGGGAGCCCUUUUUGUGUGCAUGGGUAUUUGGUACAAAGUGAUGUUUACAAACAAAUAGAAUGGGGGGAUGAGAAGAGAAUUCAUUAAUUAUACUUUUGUGUUUGACAAGACCUUCGGUCUUGUGCCUACGUACCAACAUAAAAAUGAGGGAUCAAAACCUCGUAGUUCGUGAUACAAAUUUCAAAAGGGAUGCAUUGUUUUUAAC